rnacentral:lncRNA from 10 species
GGUAAGAGGUUAUGCCCAGUUGGUGUGCAAAUGUACAUUUUUUUCUUUUCCCCAGAGUUUGCAAAUGAUUAUAGAUGGCCUCAGAGAAAGGAUAUGUCGUCUGUAUGUCAAGUAAUCAGAUUGUAAAAGAGAAGUUUUAUGCAAGAAAAUGAAUGAAUGAGAUCUCCCAGGAAAGGUGUGUAAAGUGGAAAGAGAAGAACUCUAGGACACAUUUCCCAAUUAACAGUAAAGUAAUGGCAGAGCAUUGAAAAUCAAAGAGAAGUCUGCCGAGGAUCCCCAGAGGGAGUGACUUGAGAGUCAGAACAGUAUUCUGCCUCAGCACGAAAGCCAAAACAGGAGAGUCAAUUUUGAUAAUGCUACUAAAAGGUUUGGUAAGGUUUAUAUCAAAAGUGUCUACUUAAUUGAACAACAGGACAGAUACAGAGACCUUAGCAAAAACAGUCUUAGAGGAGUGUUAGGGCUGGUGCAAGACUAGGAUACUUAAGGGAGUGAAUAGGAAGUAAAGAAGUGAAGAGACCAAGAGUAGUAUGUUAUUUCAAUUAAUUUAGCUGGGAAUUAAGAGGCAAAAGAUUGGAUUCGAUGAAAGUAGACAUGGGGUGUAUCAGCUAUUGCUGUAUAACAAAUGGCUUCAAAACUCAGUGGUUUAAAACAAUCAGCAUUUAUUAUCACU